rnacentral:rRNA from 1 species
GGAGUUAGCCGGUGCUUCUUCUGUGAGUGAUGUCCUUCCUGCCGGCUAUUAACCCGCAGGCCUUCUUCCUCACUGAAAGUGCUUUACAACCCGAAGGCCUUCUUCACACACGCGGCAUGGCUGGAUCAGGGUUGCCCCCAUUGUCCAAUAUUCCCCACUGCUGCCUCCCGUAGGAGUCUGGGCCGUGUCUCAGUCCCAGUGUGGCUGAUCAUCCUCUCAGACCAGCUACGGAUCGUCGCCUUGGUGAGCCGUUACCUCACCAACCAGCUAAUCCGACAUAGGCUCAUCCGAUAGCGCGAGGCCCGAAGGUCCCCCGCUUUCCCCCGUAGGGCGUAUGCGGUAUUAGCCUGGGUUUCCCCAGGUUAUCCCCCCACUACCGGGCAGAUUCCUAUGCAUUACUCACCCGUCCGCCGCUCGCCACCAGGGAGCAAGCUCCCCGUGCUGCCGCUCGACUUGCAUGUGUAGCUGCCGCCACGCGUCAUCUGAGCAGAAUACAACCUACUACGACGAGACGGCGGCGCGACGGACGGCGAC